AUCCCAACAAGGCUAAGCUACAUUCCUUCUAUUUUCUGGGUGAAAGCACACAACGUCACUUUUGCUGGGACUGCUCUCUGUCCUUAUAUUCAGGUGGAGGAGUUGAUCCCAGCAGAGGUUCAUUGAGAAGCUGAGGAGAGUUUAUCUUUGUGUUGUAAUGUUCAUUUUACUCAGCUCUUCACCCUGUUACAGCAAG